GUGAAUCAUCAAAUCUUUGAACGCAAAUUGCACUCUCUUCGGAGAGUAUGCCUGUUUGAGGGUCAGCCUAAAAAAAAUCGACAGAGUUGCUGUUUUCGCGGUGACAUGCGUCGGAAAUUGGGUCAUAUUCAACCUGUUGGUUUUAAGCGGCCUAAAACUUUCUUUACGGAUUCUACGAACGCUUAUAAGAUUUACUUCUUACACACGUUUAAGGUAUCGAUCUCCAUUAGACGUGGCCGUUGUAUC
rnacentral:misc_RNA from 1 species